rnacentral:rRNA from 1 species
UACGUAGGGUGCAAGCAUUAAUCGGAAUUAUUGGGCGUAAAGGGCGCGUAGGCGGAUUGAUAAGUCAGAUGUGAAAUACCAAAGCUCAACUUUGGUGCUGCAUUUGAAACUGUCUCUCUAGAGGAUUGACGGAGAAAGCGGAAUUCCACGUGUAGCGGUGAAAUGCGUAGAUACGUGGAGGAACACCGGUGGCGAAAGCGGCUUUCUAGUUUAGACCUGACGCUGAGGCGCGAGAGCAAGGGGAGCAAACAGGAUUAGAAACCCCCGUAGUCC